GAAUUUUGGAACUUAUCAAAAAAAAAAAAAGCAGCCAAAUUUUUUGGGUUGGAUUUUACUUAUUAAACUUUUAAAAUACAAAACACAUUUAAAACACAAAACAAGUCUGCUCUCUGUAUUUUUAAAGUACAUGACAAUGUUUGAUCGCUGGCGGGUUAUGGCCACGACUAUGGAUACAGGUCACUCUCUGCCCUGUUUGUGUGCAACACUGCUACCUGACCUACUUGCAACCUAGCCAGCUCAGUCACCCAGAGUAGAUUGCAAGCUAGCCGUGCAAGCAGAUAAAACAGCUUUGUGUUCUCACAUCUACUUAGAUCUAAAUUGAGUGCUGGACCAAACCGCGCUCUCAACCUAACCGCCAUAACCUCAACGAUUAUAAACCUAGCCGGUUCAACCCGAGUACUGCAAAAUCUAAGGCUGAACUAAACCACAACCUAAACUUAACCGUCACAGACCAACAGAAAAAAGUCACACUCUGCCCUGUUUGUGUGCAACACUGCUUGCAACCUAGCCAGCUCAGUCACCCAGCGUAGACCAACAUGAUAGCAUGCUGAGGCCGCCAACAAGUAGAACAGGGACUUGAACCCUGGACCCUCAGAUUAAAAGUCUGAUGCUCUACCGACUGAGCUAUCCGGGCUCUUGCGCAGUGAAAGCUUCUUACGUUUUAUAUCACAGCAGUUUUCCCACAAGCUGCCCAGAAGAAACUAAUUUGCUACGGGAUGAAAGCCACAAGCAAUUGUGGCAGAGAGAGCGAAGGACAGAGGCCUUAGAAAGCACAAUUAUCAUGACAGAAAGCUAAAGUAACUCGCCGAACCACCCCCGUAGUCGGCAGGGUUCGAACCUGCACGGGGAAACCCCAAUGGAUUUCAAGUCCACCGGCUUAACCUCUCAGCCACGAAUACACCCAGCUGGGGCCCGCCUGCUCCCUCUUCUGGUGGCGGUCAGCACAGGCCAAGCUUCAGAAAAAAAUCAAGCUGAAGGAUGAGGUGGCAAAAAGUGUUGCUCAGUCCCUGAGCAACACUUUUUGCACACAAACAGGGCAGAGUGUGUGCAAAAAGGUGUUGCUCAGUCCC
rnacentral:lncRNA from 12 species